UACGUAGGGUGCGAGCGUUGUCCGGAAUUACUGGGCGUAAAGAGCUCGUAGGUGGUUUGUCGCGUUGUUCGUGAAAACUCACAACUCAAUUGUGGGCGUGCGGGCGAUACGGGCAGACUGGAGUACUGCAGGGGAGACUGGAAUUCCUGGUGUAGCGGUGGAAUGCGCAGAUAUCAGGAGGAACACCGAUGGCGAAGGGCAGGUCUCUGGGCCGCAAACUGACGCUGAGGAGCGAAAGCAUGGGGAGCGAACAGGA
rnacentral:rRNA from 1 species